rnacentral:rRNA from 1 species
GGAAACUGAAUAGCUAGAGUGCCGUAGGGGUAGAGGGAAUUCCCGGUGUAGCGGUGAAAUGCGUAGAGAUCGGGAAGAACAUCGGUGGCGAAAGCGCUCUACUGGACGGCAACUGACACUCAGGGACGAAAGCUAGGGGAGCGAAUGGGAUUAGAUACCCCAGUAGUCCUAGCUGUAAACGAUGGAUACUAGGUGUAGCUUGUAUCGACCCGAGCUGUGCCGAAGCUAACGCGUUAAGUAUCCCGCCUGGGGAGUACGCACGCAAGUGUGAAACUCAAAGGAAUUGACGGGGGCCCGCACAAGCGGUGGAGUAUGUGGUUUAAUUCGAUGCAACGCGAAGAACCUUACCAGGGCUUGACAUGUCCGGAAUCCCGGUGAAAGCUGGGAGUGCCUUCGGGAGCCGGAACACAGGUGGUGCANUGGCUGUCGUCAGCUUUCGUGUUUCGUGNNANGAAUGNUUGGGGUUAAGUUUCCCGCAAACNGGAGCGCAACCCUCGUCUUUAGUUGCCAGCAUUAAGUUGGGCACUCUAGAGAGACUGCCGGUGACAAACCGGAGGAAGGUGGGGAUGACGUCAAGUCAGCAUGCCCCUUACGCUCUGGGCGACACACGUACUACAAUGGUCGGGACAGAGGGCAGCGAACCUGCGAAGGCAAGCUAAUCCCAGCAAACUCGGCCUCAGUUCAGAUCGCAGGCUGCAACUCGCCUGCGUGAAGGAGGAAUCGCUAGUAAUCGUCGGUCAGAAUACGGCGGUGAAUCCGUUCCCGGGCCUUGUACACACCGCCCGUCACACCAUGGAAGCUGGCCACGCCCGAAGUCGUUACCCUAACAUUUCGGGGAAGGGGACGCCGAAGGCAGGGUUGUGACUGGGGUGAAGUCUAA